UACGUAGGCAGCGAGCGUUGUUCGGAAUUACUGGGCGUAAAGAGUGUGUAGGCGGUGCUCUAAGUUCGGUGUGAAAUCUCCCGGCUUAACUGGGAGGGUGCGCCGGAAACUGGAGUGCUCGAACGUGGGAGAGGAAAGCGGAAUUCCUGGUGUAGCGGUGAAAUGCGUAGAUAUCAGGAGGAACACCUGCGGUGUAGACGGCUUUCUGGACCUUGGUUGACGUGAGACACGAAAGCCGUGGGUAGCAAACAGG
rnacentral:rRNA from 1 species